GGAAAAUCUAUUUCUCAUCUUAUAUUUGGCCUAAAUAAACUGAGGCAUCAUCCAAAACAUUAUGGGUUCAGUUAUCAGAUAUCGUUAUCCAUAGAAAUGUCACCUACAACUUCCGAGACAAUAAAUCGUUCAAACAAUUAAUAAACUGUGAAAUAUUCAUCCGUUGACUUGUUGAUUGACUAAUAUGAUUACAUCCAUACUGUGUACUUAAAAAAAAAUCUUAUUUCAUCACUUCACAAUUGCCCCUAAACUACUGUAAUAACUCAUAUUCGGCAGAGUAGACUCUGUAUAUACAUGUGUGUGUGUGUGUAUAAUUGCAUCUCUGCCACUGCAUGAGAUCAUGAACUUGUAUAAUAAAAAAAAUGCACACUGUGCACAAAAUGCACAAAAGCCAUUGUGUUUACUAAUGGUAAAAUGAUGUCACAGAGGCUUUUUGAGCCACUUAGCUCUGCAGCCAGAUCAAUAGUGUAGCUUUGAGAUUAUUUACACCGUCCACGUCUCAAUUUAGGCCAAACGCACGUUCAUCACUCACAGAUAAACGUUGUGUUUCUGCAGCAGGCAACUGAAUAAAGCGAGAGUUGUUUUGGGUCAAACAGCCAAUUUGAUGGACCUGAUUAAGUAAGGUGGGUGUCUAUUAGCGUAUUGAUUUUUAAGUCAUUCUGGUUGAGAUCAUCGGCUAAGUGGGGUGCCACAAAGAACUGAACAUAGGGCUGAAUUAUUGACCAUUGAAGGGAAUGAAGAGUACAUGUUUACGUUUGGAGCAAAAGUCUGUGAGGUCUAGUUAAGGUCAGAAUACAGUAGAUUAUUUACACUGAUCACAUUACCUGACAAUAAUCCAGAGGGAAAUGACAAACUUAAACAUUUAUGCUUACACUGUUACAGACCCUGGAAUUAAUAAAGAGGGAAAGCUUGAAAAGCUGAAAGUAGGUCAUACAAGCAUACAAUGUUGAACUAAUGUGCUGCUUUGUAUUGAUUAUUUUUGUUUUUCAGCUUCAACGGGCAGCGUUACAGCUAGAACAGCAGAGAGAUGUGCUUAACAUCGUGCCAAAACAACUGAGUAACUCCAUCCCCGCCCUCAGAGGCCAAGCAGCAAGGAGUGACGGUAAGAUCGCGUAACAUUGCAUCUUUGAUUCCUGAACCUCUGCCACGGUCCCGGCCAAAGCCCCCCCGCUAUGCUCGGCUACCGUGUCUCCCCACCUUUUUCACCCCGUCACAG
ensembl:lncRNA